rnacentral:rRNA from 1 species
AUUGAACGCUGGCGGCAGGCCUAACACAUGCGAGUCGAGCGGAUGAAGGGAGCUUGCUCCUGGAUUCAGCGGCGGACGGGUGAGUAAUGCCUAGGAAUCUGCCUGGUAGUGGGGGAUAACGUCCGGAAACGGGCGCUAAUACCGCAUACGUCCUGAGGGAGAAAGUGGGGGAUCUUCGGACCUCACGCUAUCAGAUGAGCCUAGGUCGGAUUAGCUAGUUGGUGGGGUAAAGGCCUACCAAGGCGACGAUCCGUAACUGGUCUGAGAGGAUGAUCAGUCACACUGGAACUGAGACACGGUCCAGACUCCUACGGGAGGCAGCAGUGGGGAAUAUUGGACAAUGGGCGAAAGCCUGAUCCAGCCAUGCCGCGUGUGUGAAGAAGGUCUUCGGAUUGUAAAGCACUUUAAGUUGGGAGGAAGGGCAGUAAGUUAAUACCUUGCUGUUUUGACGGUACCAACAGAAUAAGCACCGGCUAACUUCGUG